UAUUAAAUUUUUUAUCAAUUUUUAUUGUUAAAAACUGAUAUAGAUGACAAUAAUUAGACAGUUACAUGUGACGUGCCAUAGGUACUUUAUAUUAACAUAUAGAGACUAUUUUUUAACAGUAGAAAUGGAUGAAUUUUUUAAUA
rfam:Gossypium raimondii Chr08_contig_766, whole genome shotgun sequence.